UACGAAGGGGGCUAGCGUUGUUCGGAUUUACUGGGCGUAAAGCGCGCGUAGGCGGGAGGUGAAGUCCGGUGGGAAAGCCCACGGCUCAACCGUGGAAGAACGCUGGAAACUCACCUUCUUGAGGGCGGCAGAGGGAAGUGGAAUUGCUGGUGUAGCGGUGAAAUGCGUAGAUAUCAGCAGGAACACCCGUGGCGAAGGCGGCUUCCUGGGCCGCCCCUGACGCUGAGGCGCGAAAGCGUGGGGAGCGAACGGG
rnacentral:rRNA from 1 species